rnacentral:lncRNA from 1 species
ACCAUAGCUGAGCACAAGCCUUCUAGUUUCAAAAGGUGAUUUCUUCUCCCUUCAGCUUCUGUUGGAAAAGGAACUGCCUUGUCAUUGUUGUCCUGUUUAUGGGAGUCUGAGCUGGUCUAAGGCUAGCAAAGGAUACCUGAAGAGUUUCUGGAGAAACCUGGAAUCUUGAAAUUCAGUACUGGUCCGAAAAUGCUAAGAGGAAUGGAAGGCUGCUCGGGAAACUAAAUAAAUAAAGGGUGACCGUGAAGUUCAAGAACAGGUUUGAAGUUCUCAUCUAAAAGAUUGGAGCAAAGCACAGCAAUAAAUGUGCAGUUCUUGGAAAUUGUUAAUGACUGACAAAGGUUCUGCUCGGAGACUGAUACUCGGCAUUGCCUUCAUAUCUGCAGAAAGGGGUCAGCUUGACCGGGAAGAAUGAAGAGUGGAUUAGGGAGAUUGCACAGAAAAAUCUAGCAAAACUUCAGGCUUUAGUAAAGCUCCUCUGUGGCGUGAUUGCAACCAUUCAAACUAGGAUGAAUAUGUAUCUCCACGUAAUUGAAAGCUGGUUUAGCUACAGAUUAAUAAACAGGUAUGUAAACUCUAUAGCUGUUUGCGUUCUUCAGUGUUAUUAGCAAUAAUCAUGUGGCUUAUCUAAUCCUUUAGCUAAUAUCUGGAAAACAAUUUCUGUGCUCCUGCUUAUGUGUCUGGACUCUAGCUGCAGUUCUUUGCAUAGCAUGCUUCUUUUAAAGUGCUUUUUGUGAUGCUUUAUUUGUCUCUUAAGUUUUGAGGUUUUUUAAUAUAGCAUUUGAUACCCCAAGCAUAUCUUUCUUUGUUCUUGCCUUGUUUUCAUAUAAACAUUUCUUACAAACUCAGCUGGAUGUAAUUUGUGUGGAUCCAUUUCCCUCUCUAAACCCAGGGUGAGGG